AGAGCGAACGCUGGCGGCAUGCUUAACACAUGCAAGUCGCACGGCUGGGGUAACUCAGCAGUGGCGGACGGGUGAGUAACGCGUAGGUAUCUAUCUCCGGGUGGGGACAACUGUGGGAAACUACAGCUAAUACCGCAUGAAACCCGAGGGUCAAAGCAGCGAUGCGCCUGGAGAGGAGCCUGCGUACGAUUAGCUUGUUGGUGGGGUAAUGGCCCACCAAGGCGACGAUCGUUAGCUGGUCUGAGAGGAUGAUCAGCCACACUGGGAUUGAGAACGGCCCAGACUCCUACGGGGGCAGCAGUGAGGAAUUUUUCCGCAAUGGAGGCAACUCUGACGGAGCAACGCCGCGUGCAGGACGAAGGUUUUCGGAUCGUAAACUGCUUUUCUCGGGGACGAGCAAGGACGGUACCCGAGGAAGAAGCCCCGGCUAACUACGUGCCAGCAGCCGC
rnacentral:rRNA from 1 species